rnacentral:rRNA from 1 species
UACGUAGGGUGCGAGCGUUGUCCGGAAUUAUUGGGCGUAAAGAGCUUGUAGGCGGUUUGUCGCGUCUGCUGUGAAAAUCCGGGGCUCAACCCCGGACUUGCAGUGGGUACGGGCAGACUAGAGUGUGGUAGGGGAGACUGGAAUUCCUGGUGUAGCGGUGAAAUGCGCAGAUAUCAGGAGGAACACCAGCGCGAAGGCGGCGCUCUGGGCCGGAACUGACGCUGAGGAGCGAAAGCGUGGUAGCAAACAGG